rnacentral:rRNA from 1 species
CCCGCACAAGCGGUGGAGCAUGUGGUUAAUUCGAUGCAACGCGAAGAACUUACCUAGACUUGACAUCCCGGGAAUUCUUAGGAACUAAGAAGUGCCUUUCGGGAGCCCGGUGACAGGUGCUGCAUGGCUGUCGUCAGCUCGUGUCGUGAGAUGUUGGGUUAAGUCCCGCAACGAGCGCAACCCUUAUCUUUAAUUGCCAGCAUUCAGUUGGGCACUUUAAAGAGACUGCCGGUGUUAAACCGGAGGAAGGUGGGAUGACGUCAAGUCCUCAUGGCCUUUAUGCUUAGGGCUACACACGUGCUACAAUGGGUGGUACAAAGAGAAGCCAACUCGCGAGAGCGCGCCAAUCUCAAAAAGCCAUCCUCAGUUCGGAUUGGAGUCUGCAACUCGACUCCAUGAAGUUGGAAUCGCUAGUAAUCGCGGAUCAGCAUGCCGCGGUCGAAUACGUUCCCGGGCCUU